rnacentral:lncRNA from 1 species
AGAUCGUCACUCGGUGUUCUCACCGAAAGCACGUAAUCGCCGGUGUAACUCAUGUUGGCUGGGGGGCCUCCCGGCGCGCGCGGAGAGGCUGGGGUGCGCCCCCAUGCAGCAUGCUUGUGCUCAAUUGCAGGGUCCUCGUUCUCGAGUGUGCAGAGGGCGGUGAGAGCUCAACUCUCGUCCCCACCUCCCACCCGCAGCUCCCCGGGUGGGUGAGGGAUGCCCUGGACUGGGGAUAGCCAGGUGGGAGUCCGUCGCUGUGUGGCCUGUGGUCUCGGAGUCUGUUCUCCUGGAGUCUCGCAUUUGCACCCCCUUCUUCGCAGUCCCCCUCCCAUAGACUUGCUCUGGGAAGCGCCUCUGCCUCCGACCCUAGCCGGAACCCCUUCGGGGCCAGAGUUUGAAGCCGUGGAUGUGCCUGCCUGGUGGCUUGUCCGAUUUGCACGGUGACUUGAUUACACUCUCUCAUUCAUGGUCACUUCCGAAGCGCUUUAGUGCCUUCCGUCCCUAAACCGCCAACAGCCAGAACGGCUUCUCCCCGCGGUUUGUCACUGAUCCGCAGGGCCCGGAAGGGCCUUCGUCUUACCCGGGAUCCACCUCUCCCCUCAUCUUCCCUGCCUACCUCUUCAUCCCACCUUCUGUCCUUGGAGAAACUCCCUCCUCCUCGCUGCCUGCCGGGCUUCGGAGUGACUCGGCAGAGACAGAGGCACAGGGGCUGCCCUGCUGCUCACCGGUCCACCCAUCUGCCUGGUCUUCUGGAGCUGAGGACUCGGGAAACCAUGCAAUUGAGGCAAGCCUUGGGCUGCUUUAGAGGCGCUGACAUCCGAGGAGACUUCUCCUGGGAUUGAAGGAGCAAUGUUUGGAGGAAGCGAAAGAAAGGAGAGGACACAGAGCACAGAGCAGCCAGGCAGAGCCAGGAGCUGAGAAGGGCCCAGACCUGAGGCCUCCCAACAACUCUCUUCUUGGAAGGAUCUGGGAUGUUGCUGAAGGAAAAUAAAAAAAUAUGUAAAAAGAUAACCUUUUGUUUUUCCCUCUCCAGGAAAUAGCCAAAGUUAUUUACAUAUCUUGGGGAGAUUUAGAGUAUAAACUCUAAGAUCUUUGGUAUUUAAGUGUCAACAUCGAUUUAUUUAUUUAUUGCUGAGCUGACUGUAACUGACUCAAUAACAAAUCUAAUCGUGUAUUGCACUGGAAAAGAAAUAUUCUUAUUAUGUAUUUUCUCCAAAUAAUGGCCUACCAUUGCAUUUGAAUACCUGCUGUAAAUAUCAAUAAUAUGAAGUAAUU